rnacentral:rRNA from 1 species
UACGUAGGGCGCAAGCGUUAUCCGGAAUUAUUGGGCGUAAAGAGCUCGUAGGCGGUUUGUCGCGUCUGCCGUGAAAGCCCGGGGCUCAACUCCGGAUCUGCGGUGGGUACGGGCAGACUAGAGUGCUGUAGGGGAGACUGGAAUUCCUGGUGUAGCGGUGAAAUGCGCAGAUAUCAGGAGGAACACCGAUGGCGAAGGCAGCUCGCUGGGACGGUAUUGACGCUGAGGCGCGAAAGCGUGGGGAGCAAACAGG